AGAGCGAACGCUGGCGGCAGGCCUAAUACAUGCAAGUCGAACGGACCCUUCGGGGUUAGUGGCGGACGGGUGAGUAACACGUGGGAACGUGCCCUUUGGUUCGGAACAACUCAGGGAAACUUGAGCUAAUACCGAAUGUGCCCCCAUCCUUAAACAAGAUGGGUGGGAAAGAUUUAUCGCCAUUAGAGCGGCCCGCGUCUGAUUAGCUUGUUGGUGGGGUAAUGGCCCACCAAGGCUACGAUCAGUAGCUGGUCUGAGAGGAUGAUCAGCCACACUGGGACUGAGACACGGCCCAGACUCCUACGGGAGGCAGCAGUAGGGAAUCUUGCGCAAUGGGCAAAGCCUGACGCAGCCAUGCCGCGUGAAUGAUGAAGGUCUUAGGAUUGUAAAAUUCUUUACAGCGGGAAGAUAAUGACUGUACCCGCAGAAGAAGCUCCGGCUAACUUCGUGCCAGCAGCCGC
rnacentral:rRNA from 1 species